rnacentral:rRNA from 1 species
GUGCCAAGCAGCCGCGGUAAAACCAGCACCUCAAGUGGUCAGGAUGAUUAUUGGGCCUAAAGCAUCCGUAGCCGGCUCUGUAAGUUUUCGGUUAAAUCUGUACGCUCAACGUACAGGCUGCCGGGAAUACUGCAGAGCUAGGGAGUGGGAGAGGUAGACGGUACUCGGUAGGAAGUGGUAAAAUGCUUUGAUCUAUCGAUGACCACCUGUGGCGAAGGCGGUCUACCAGAACACGUCCGACGGUGAGGGAUGAAAGCUGGGGGAGCAAACCGGAUUAGAUACCCGGGUAGUCCCAGCUGUAAACUAUGCAAACUCAGUGAUGCAUUGGCUUGUGGCCAAUGCAGUGCUGCAGGGAAGCCGUUAAGUUUGCCGCCUGGGAAGUACGUACGCAAGUAUGAAACUUAAAGGAAUUGGCGGGGGAGCACCACAAGGGGUGAAGCCUGCGGUUCAAUUGGAGUCAACGCCAGAAAUCUUACCCGGAGAGACAGCAGGAUGAAGGUCAAGCUGAAGACUUUACCAGACAAGCUGAGAGGUGGUGCAUGGCCGUCGCCAGCUCGUGCCGUGAGAUGUCCUGUUAAGUCAGGUAACGAGCGAGAUCCCUGCCUCUAGUUGCCACCAUUACUCUCAGGAGUAGUGGGGCGAAUUAGCGGGACCGCCGCAGUUAAUGCGGAGGAAGGAAGGGGCCACGGCAGGUCUGUGAUGCCCA